GAAACCACCUUGAAAACUAGCAAUUAAAAAUAUUACAUAAGAUUGAUGGAAAUUGUGUAUUUCAGAAAGCGUACAGAAAAUGACGUUGUUUUUUUAAAAAUGUAAAGAUUGCCUUGGUUUUGUUUCGACCAUUUUAGAGGAUUUCACUUUUAUGUGUAAAUUGAUGAUUAUUUAAUAUUAUUAUUAUAAUUAAAAGUAAUAUUAGUAAUACUUAUUAAUAUUUGUUAAGUCCUAUGAAUAAGUAUUUAUAAUAGGCCCCGCUCAAUAAUACCUCAUUAUAGUUUCUCAAAGCACUCUUGAAAAUGUUCCUAACGAUCAUCGUCGUAUCCAUACUUUUUACUGGAAUUCAACAAGCCGGAGGAUAUCCCAUACCGUCAUCAACUGUUGCUGGUUUAACGGACGUAGCAAACAAAAUACAUACGACUCACAAGCAAAGAUUUUCACAUAUUUUAUUGGCCACCAAAAUUCCAGAUGCUGUCGUUUACCAAGACGUGCAGAAAUUCACAGUAGGACCAGUUUUUUAUUUUGUUUCGAAAAUAUCAGAAAAUUUGUUGACGUCGUCCACGAUCGCACAUAAUAAGAACCCGGAGUUUGCCAGUUCGGUUAUUAUUGAUCAGAGUAAUAAGCAGCAUUUUUUCCCCGAUGACGAGUCCGUUACCCCACCGCUACCCGAAAAAAAAAAUGAGACGACGACCACGUCGGUUUCGACCGACCAAUCGAUGAAUACCACGUCGGUUACCGUCGACGACUCGAAAACAACUGCAAACGAUACCGUGAGCAACUCGGCGCGAACGAAGAGAGUGCCGUGGAAAGAUGAUGGUUCAAGUGCGACUAAAGGGCAGACCGACGAUAAACAAUGGUUUUUUAUGAUGUUGGCGACCAAAGCAGAUCGAAAAACUUCGGCACAGCAGACCACGGAAAAACUAAAAUGGCAAUCAUUUUGGAAAAGAACGAAUGAUAUACGAUUUUCAGGUGAACGGGCAUCCUGUGAUAGACAAGUAGACGACAAAAUAGGUGAUAACACGAACUGGAAAACAUUCGCUACGAUUCCGUAUUGAGAAGAAUUCGAUAGCACAUCAUCCGCCUUCACCAAUAGCACAUGUGAUUCAACUUUUUUUUGGUAGUAACAGUUUUGUGUCCCUCUCCCCACGUACAAAUUGAAUUUUAAUGAAUAGAGAACGAUGGCGUGUAAACAUUACAUAAAUACAGUUUCUAAGUGGUUUUUCUUCCAACUAUUAAGAAAUAUACUGGAAAUUAAGUAAUAUUGAAGAUUGAAAAGAUUCAAAAAAAUGUCAUUAGACAUCUACAUAUUAUACAAAAAACAAUAACAUACGUCAAACCAAUAUAUUCGACACGCUUUUCAAAUCGAAAAUUAUGUGAAUUUAUGUAAAAUUAUGAAUAAUUCCAUAUAAUAUUAAAAUUAAACGUUUAUUUAAACUUAUCGAACUAU